GAGACCUCAGGUCAGGCGGGGCUACCCG
rnacentral:rRNA from 2 species